CACUUCACUUGAGGUUCCAUCACUCUCGACCCAGCUGAUAGAGCUGUGAGGUAGCUUCGACCAGCUCUCCGUCUACUCGUUCAGCUCUCUUAUACCUGCAUUUACUCUUCCCUUCAGUACUUAGUCAUUCAGCCAACCAUCCCCACAGACCAAGAACUUUUGGGAAGUCUUCAGCUACAUUUCGGAAUCCAAUGAAUCGACCCAGUUCAUAUGGAUCCCGAUCAUGAUAAGUCCGGCCAAGGCCAUGGACAUCACCCCUGAACCAGCCAAGGCCAUGGUUCAGUGCUAUCAAGUCUUAAGCGUAUGCUCCCCUGGAGCCAAGUCCUAUCAUGGACUAAUAAUGCCCAUCAGAAAGCUUUGAAACUCCAUGGUCUUUUAUCUACUCCAAAAUUCUUGGCUAAGUUCCCAAAGAUUUUCUGUGUGAUCUUUGGCUUAUGCUCCAAAUCAUAAUCGAUGAAUCAAAUUCACUCGACCACAUAUCUCAAUGCUAAAAUUGUUGUAUAUGAUUAACUCAACCUCAACCUCCUGGCGGAAACAUCCCACUGUACCAAGUCCAUAAACUGAAUCUUCAAUCGGUCCCAUAUCUUGUGCUGAGAGUGCUGAAGCAGCUGGCCAGCUGUCCCCACUCAGCUUUGCUUUGUCCUGAGUGAAACUGUAAGACCCGAUCCCGGCCGACUAGGCAGCGGUCGAUGACUCACGUCGCUCGGUCCAUACACUGACCGAACCUCUCAAAAUUUUGCCCUUUAUCUAUAUUAUCGCCCAUAGGCGAAGGCUAACUUAGACCUUAGCUUAAGACUACCUUAGUCAUUCCCUAGCUUAGAUCAUUUCAACUCAUACGCAGCGGAUAUUCUCUACUUAACCAUUGGUCUACAGCCAAUAUAAUACUUGCCUGGUCGAAUCACUUCGGCUAAUGGUUAGUAUACUCAACUACCAGCUAGCUUCAAGGUCAAUCCCGAACCCAAAUCAAGGCACACAAAUCUGAGGUUCCAUUCCCCUAACCAUUCUAUCUACAUCUAUGCAACAUUGCUAGAUCAUACCUUUGCCACAUCCACGGAGCUUGUUAGCUCAUUGUCCCAGAUGACUCAGCUGUUUAGCUAGCUCAUCCAGCUAGCUGAGCUGAACCACUUCACUUGAGGUUCCCUCACUCUCGACCCAGAUGAUAGAGCUGUGAGGUAGCUUCGACCAGCUCUCCGUCUACUCGUUCAGCUCUCUUAUACCUGCAUUUACUCUUCCCUUCAGUACUUAGUCAUUCAGCCAACCAUCCCCACAGACCAAGUACUUUUGGGAAGUCUUCAGCUACAUUUCGGAAUCCAAUGAAUCGACCCAGUUCAUAUGGAUCCCGAU
rnacentral:lncRNA from 1 species